rnacentral:rRNA from 1 species
CCUACGGGAGGCAGCAGUGGGGAAUUUUCCGCAAUGGGCGAAAGCCUGACGGAGCAACGCCGCGUGAGGGACGAAGGCCUCUGGGCUGUAAACCUCUUUUCUCAAGGAAGAAGAUAUGACGGUACUUGAGGAAUAAGCCACGGCUAAUUCCGUGCCAGCAGCCGCGGUAAUACGGGAGUGGCAAGCGUUAUCCGGAAUUAUUGGGCGUAAAGCGUCCGCAGGCGGCUUUUCAAGUCUGCUGUUAAAGCGUGGAGCUUAACUCCAUUAUGGCAGUGGAAACUGAAAGGCUUGAGUAUGGUAGGGGCAGAGGGAAUUCCCGGUGUAGCGGUGAAAUGCGUAGAUAUCGGGAAGAACACCAGUGGCGAAGGCGCUCUGCUGGGCCAUUACUGACGCUCAUGGACGAAAGCCAGGGGAGCGAAAGGGAUUAGAUACCCCUGUAGUCCUGGCCGUAAACGAUGGACACUAGGUGUCGGGGGAAUCGACCCCUUCGGUGUCGUAGCUAACGCGUUAAGUGUUCCGCCUGGGGAGUACGCACGCAAGUGUGAAACUCAAAGGAAUUGACGG